CCUCCUACGGGGGGCCGCAGUAGGGCUUAUUGCUUUUUUGGGGAAACCCUGAAGCAGCAACGCCGCGUGGAGGAUGAAGGUUUUCGGAUUGUAAACUCCUUUUGUUAGAGAAGAUAAUGGCGGUAUCUAACGAAUAAGCACCGGCUAACUCCGUGCCAGCAGCCGCGGUAAUACGGAGGGUGCAAGCGUUACUCGGAAUCACUGGGCGUAAAGAGCGCGUAGGCGGGAUAGCAAGUCAGAUGUGAAAUCCUAUGGCUUAACCAUAGAACUGCAUUUGAAACUGUUAUUCUAGAGUAUGGGAGAGG
rnacentral:rRNA from 1 species